CGGUCGGUGUCUCCCUCAUGUUGUCUCCACCGGAGCAGGACGGUCAGUGAGCCGCUGGGUCCGUGCUGUUUCUGUACCUAACGUGACGGCUGCAAGUCUGACGACAGCAGCACCACGGGUUCCUGUGGUCACCUUCAAAAUAAAAAGACAGCCGCGGAAGCACGGCUCCAGUCAUGAGGAGCAAAAAGCUUGAUGGAGUCAACCACUACGAUGCCUGAUCAACCAGACGGAUGGAGGUGGAGGUGGAGCAGGAGCAGAGAAAGAGCCCGAGGGAAAACAUGACCCUCCCCCUCUGUUAUACAGCUCCACCACACACACACACACACACACACACACACACACACACACACACACACACACACACACACACACACACACACACA